rnacentral:rRNA from 1 species
AUUGAACGCUGGCGGCAUGCUUUACACAUGCAAGUCGAACGGUAACAGGCCGCAAGGUGCUGACGAGUGGCGAACGGGUGAGUAAUGCAUCGGAACGUGCCCAGUCGUGGGGGAUAACGCAGCGAAAGCUGCGCUAAUACCGCAUACGAUCUCUGGAUGAAAGCGGGGGACCGAAAGGCCUCGCGCGAUUGGAGCGGCCGAUGUCAGAUUAGGUAGUUGGUUGGGUAAAGGCCCACCAAGCCAACGAUCUGUAGCUGGUCUGAGAGGACGACCAGCCACACUGGUACUGAGACACGGGCCAGACUCCUACGGGAGGCAGCAGUGGGGAAUUUUGGACAAUGGGCGCAAGCCUGAUCCAGCAAUGCCGCGGGCAGGAAGAAGGCCUUCGGGUUGUAAACUGCUUUUGUACGGAACGAAACGGUCCGGGUUAAUACCCUGGGCUAAUGACGGUACCGUAAGAAUAAGCACCGGCUAACUACGUGCCAGCCGCCGCCGUAAUAC